CACGGGGGGAGCAAGCGUUGUCCGGAAUCACUAGGCGUAAAGGGCAAGUAGGCGGAAAAGUAAGUCAGAUGUUAAAGGCACGGGCUCAACCGGUGUAUGGCAUUUGAUACUGUUUUUCUAGAGUUAGGUGGGAGAAGAUGGAAUUCCUGGUGUAGCGGUGGAAUGCGCAGAUAUCAGGAAGAACACCAGUGGCGAAGGCGGUCUUCUACACCAUAACUGACGCUCAAUUGCGAAGGUGUGGGUAUCGAACAGG
rnacentral:rRNA from 1 species